rnacentral:tRNA from 1 species
GGAGUUUUAGUUUAAUUAAAAUAACUAAGUUGCAAUUAGUAGAUGUGUAUACCCGCAAGCUCUA